GUUAGGGUUUCAGUUUCACUUCCUCUUUCAAAAAAAAAUCAAAAUUUGAUCAAAAAACCCACCUUUCACUCUUACUCUCACUCCUUUUCUUGCCAAAUUCUCCACUCCGUUUCCCGUAAUCACUCCACAUUUUUACGAAAUUCGGACAAUUUUCACAUUCAAGAUUGUUGUCUACUUUCACUUAAAUAGAGAAUAAACAUGCACUCUCUGGUACAUAAUUAUCCAUAACAUUCUUUUUCGAUCAGUGGGUGUGGGUUGUUAUGGAUGUUCACGUGAUUGAUGAAGAGGAGGGGAUGGGUCAUCGUAUGAUGGUGUACGAUGGAGAUGCUGAACCCAAUGAGGGUGGAGAAGCAAACAAUGCAGAGAAUUCCUCAGCACAUGAUGAGGAUGGGGUAGUUGAGCCACAUGUGGGUAUGGAAUUUCAUUCUGAGGAUGCUGCUAAAACUUUCUAUGAUGAGUAUGCAAAGCGUCUAGGUUUUAGCUCCAAAGUUGUGCAUUUUAAUCGUUCUAAAACUGAUGGAACAGUUGUUUUUCGUGAGUUUGUAUGUGGCAGAGAGGGUUUGAAAAGGAGGUCCGCCGAUAGUUGUAAUGCAAUGCUUAGGAUAGAGUUUAAGGGUCAAAACAAAUGGGUUGUAACCAAGUUUAUAAAAGAGCAUAGUCAUUCUAUGGUGAAUCCCAGUAAAGUUCAUUACCUUCGGCCGCGCAGGCAUUUUGCUGGUGCUACAAAAAGCAUCACUGAAACUUACCAAGGAGUUGGAAUUGUACCCAGUGGUGUGAUGUAUGUAUCCAUGGAUGGAAACCGUGCAUCUGCAGAGGCAAAUCGUGGUCUUAGGAUCUCUCCUGCUGCAGAAUCAAAUCGUGUCAUUAACAAUUCUGCAACAUUGAACUAUGCUGUUAGAUCCAAUUCGCGAAGGAGGACACUGGGAAGGGAUGCACAGAAUCUGUUAGAAUAUUUCAAGAAAAUGCAGGCUGAAAACCCUGGUUUCUUUUAUGCAAUACAACUUGAUGAUGAUAAUUGCAUGGCCAAUGUAUUUUGGGCUGAUGCAAGGUCAAGGACAGCUUACAGCCAUUUUGGGGAUGCAGUUACACUGGACACAAAUUACAGAAUAAAUCAGUAUAAAGUGCCAUUUGCACCAUUUACAGGUGUUAACCAUCAUGGACAAACAAUUUUAUUUGGAUGUGCAAUACUCCUAGACGAUUCGGAGGCUUCUUUUGUUUGGCUAUUUAAGACAUUUCUUACAGCAAUGAACGAUCGACAGCCUGUUUCUAUAAUCACCGAUCAAGACAGGGCCAUACAAACAGCAGUGUCUCAGGUGUUUCCUGAAGCCCGACACUGUAUUAGCAAAUGGCAUGUUUUAAGAGAAGGCCAGGAAAAAUUGGCUCAUGCUUGUCAUGCACAUCCUAAUUUUCAGGUGGAAUUGUACAAUUGUAUCAACUUGAUUGAGACUAUUGAGGAGUUUGAAUCAUCUUGGAGUUCUAUCCUCGAUAAAUAUGAUUUAGGGGGGCAUGAUUGGCUUCAAUCAUUAUACAAUACUCGUGCUCAAUGGGUCCCAGUGUACUUUAGGGAUUCUUUUUUUUGCUGUGAUAUCUCCAAAUCAAGGGUUUGAUGGUUCUUUUUUUGAUGGCUAUGUGAACCAACAAACCACAUUGCCAAUGUUCUUCAGACAGUAUGAAAGAGCUCUAGAGAACUGGUUUGAGAGGGAGCUAGAAGCAGAUUUUGAUACAAUUUGUACCACACCAGUCUUAUGGACACCUUCUCCAAUGGAAAAACAAGCAGCCAAUUUUUAUACAAGGAAAAUAUUUGCAAAAUUUCAAGAAGAGCUAGUUGAAACUUUUGUCUAUACUGCUAAUAAAAUUGAGGGCGAUGGAGCUAUCAGCACAUUCAGGGUUGCAAAAUUGGAAGAUGAUAACAAGGCAUACAUUGUUACAUUAAACUAUCCAGAAAUGAGAGCAAACUGUAGCUGCCAAAUGUUUGAGCAUUCGGGUAUUCUAUGCAGACAUGUUUUGACAGUCUUUACAGUGACAAAUGUGCUUACAUUGCCAUCUCAUUACAUCUUAAAAAGAUGGACAAGAAAUGCCAAAACUGGCACUGGAAUAGAUGAACGCGGUGGUGAAUUGCAUGGCCAAGAGUCUCUUACAUUGCGUUACAACAAUCUGUGUGGGGAAGCCAUCAGAUAUGCUGAGGAGGGGGCAAUAGCUGUGGACACUUAUAACGUUGCAAUUGGUGUGCUUAGAGAAGGUGGGAAGAAGAUUGCUGCUCUGAAGAAAAAUGCUGCUAAAAUUCGACCACCUAGCUCACUGGUUGGUGGGAUUGGUUAUGAUGACAGGAAGACCUCAACAUCAGCAUCGGAUACAAUGCCAUUGCUGUGGCCAAGGCAAGAUGAAGUUACACGUCAGUUUAAUCUGAAUGAUGCUGGUGCUCAAGCUCAAUCUGUUACUGAUUUGAAUCUUCCCCGGAUGGCUCCUGUGUCCCUUCAACGGGAUGAUGGUCCUCCUGGAAAUAUGGCAGUUCUUCCUUGUCUUAAAUCAAUGACUUGGGUGAUGGAGAAUAAGAAUUCAACACCAGGAAACAGAGUUGCUGUCAUCAACUUGAAGUUGCAAGAUUAUAGCAAGACUCCUUCAACAGAAUUGGAGGUUAAGUUUCAACUGUCAAGAGUUACAUUGGAGCCUAUGUUGAGAUCUAUGGCUUAUAUUAGUGAACAGUUAUCUACACCAGCAAACAGGGUUGCUGUCAUUAAUUUAAAGUGCAUGCAAGGAUGAUUAUGCCAACUGCUGCUUUGUCAUUUGAUAACACUGAUGCACUCCUUCAUCCUGUUGUAACCAUAUAUUAUUCUAAGCUAUCAUUGUGGAGCACAAAGCUCACCCCGUAAAGAAGCUUACAAUCAAUUGAUUGUUUCUUUAUGAGUACAUGUGUGGACUGUGGAGUGUGUGAGAGUUGGAUCAGGGGUAUUAUGGAUCCCAAGCCAAAUAAGAAAAAAGAGAAAUCUGCAAGAUACCGAAACAACUUCCGGUGAAUCAGAAGUUAAAUUUCAGGUGUCUCGGGAUACAUUAGGUGCAAUGUUAAGAUCAAUGGCCUAUAUCCGUGAGCAGCUUUCAAAUGCUGCUGAGCCCCAGACAGAGCUUCCAUCAAAGAAGCAGCAGAAAUGAUGACAUUGAAUUUAUUGUCCUUCAUUCCCUGAUGCGUAAACAACUCGUAUGCCAUCGGUGGACUGCAAAGGUGAGAAGGCUUUCCAGAUAGGCUUGUGUAAGAUUCAUUCAAGGAGGAUUUGAUUUGUCCCAAUGACAUGUUUUGUGGGAUGAUUUUCAUGGCGACUUUUUGGUGCUGCUGCUGUCGUUGCUUGUUAGGCUUCAUUCCUUGGACCCAUUUGUCAUUUACACCUACAGAUUGGAGUACUAAAGAAUAAAUAUGGCACACCAUUGUUGUACAGGACCUUUGAGUUAACAUUAAGUCUGUUACUUUCUUGUUUUUCUUAGUUGUUUGCUGCAUGUCCCGCUUUUAUUAUAUUCCACUAUCAAAUGAUCUACACUCUAAUCAAUUUAAUCUAUUAGUUUUAUCUUGUAUUUGCAUAUUAGGUAAAUGCACAAAAAGUUGAUAACUAUAAGGGAGUGUUUGGUACAGAGAUAAUAUGGAACAAUUGUUACUCUUGUAACUUUUAA
rnacentral:misc_RNA from 1 species